rnacentral:rRNA from 1 species
AAGUUGUAACAAGGUUUCCGUAGGUGAACCUGCGG